GUGGCGGUGUUUGCGUACAUCAGAUGAGUGGGAGCCAGAAUUGUACAAAAAUUGGCCGGACAAUUAUCGAUUUU
ensembl:ncRNA F44B9.11 ncRNA